UAUGCAUACACGCAUUAUUAGUAUGUAUUCAAAAUGAUUUUUCCUGAAUUUUAUUAAUGUCUGGUGCAAACAUGCUGAAAAUAAGAAAAAUGAAAAUAUAAUUAUAGCUAGCCGCUAACAAAAUAAUGUAUUAACUAAAUGCUGGUGUUGCCUGGCAACCAAGCCCUGUUAGCUUAACCGGAAACCAGCCGCAGGUUAGCUCCAUUUCUUGUCAAGACAGCUAGUUUACUGACUUUACAUGGUUUUUAAUGAAUUGUUUGUUAUUAUAUGAGCAUGUUAUGGUGCUAUCAGAAACAUGAAGUCGCGGUCUCGGUUUAAGCGUACUGUUCCCGGUCCCGGAUGAUGAGUCUCGGCUCCAUGCGGCCAGGCGGGCGGAGGCGGAGAGCAGGCCCGAGGCGCGGGCGAGCUGAGGGGGAGGCGGCAGCAACACGCCUUGGCAUGCGAGAGGGGAAGAAGACAAGGGAUGCUGCUGCUCAUCUGCCUCCAUGCUGAUCUCCAUCCUGAGAGCCGUCCUUAUGUCAAGCUGAAAGGUAAUGACGAUCCCCUGAGGAAACAGCAUUCCACAUCAGUAGAGGAUGAUCAAAUGGACUUGUUGCUCUGCAGUGUUAAAUCCAGGUCAUGUAAUGAAUAAAGAUCCAGUGAAUCAUGCACAGAAUUUUUUGCUAAUUAUUUUUCAUGUCCAUUUUUUCCAGUGUGAGUCUGAAUUUUCGGGAACAGAAGAAAGAACAGUUCAUGGACAAAAAUAACUCACUUCCAUUAUUUGACAUUUUCAGCUGCAAAAACAAAAAAAUCUGUGUUUGGAAAGAAGUAAACUGUUAUUAACGAGUGUGUAUGAAGGUGCAGAGCUGGUCAUUGCAGAGUUGAGAAGUUAUUUUUCCUUUUACCUCUUCGAUGCACAGAGCA